UAUUAUUUCUAAAUAUUCCUUUAAAUUUAAUCUUCAUAUGACAUUAUUGUAGACCUUUUUAUGUGAUAUUUGAGGUUUUAGUAUGGCAAAUAUUAGUUUAAAAGCAGCUGUCACCCAAAUUUUCACUUAGUGGAGUUUGCAGGUUGAAAAAGGAAGUAAUAAGACCUAUGUGGAGAAAUUAGUAACGUUGAAUGUAGUAUCGGAAUUUUAUCAUGCAAGGUUAUGGAAAUGCAGGCUAAGGAAGUUUUUUACUGUGCAUGUUGAGCACUCAAUGCUCAUUAAUGGUGUUAAUGUUUAUUAUUAUCCCCGGCCAUAGGCGGAGGGAUAUUAUUUUGGCGUUGUCUGUUCGUCCUUCCAUCCUUUUGUCUGUCGGUCUUUCCAUCCGUCCUAAGUCAUAUCUUGGAAGUGCUUUGGCAGAUUUCACUGAAACUUGGUAUGAGUAUGUAUAUGGAUAAGAGGAUGAUGCAUGCCAAAUGGCAUUGUACACCAUUAGUUAAUAACAGAGUUAUGGCCCUUUGUAUCUUGAAAAAAUGCUUUUUGUGUGUCCAAGGCCAUAUCAUGGAAGUGCUUUGGCGGAUUUCAUUGAAACCUGGUUCGAGUAUAUAUAUGGAUAAGAGGAUGAUGCACCCCAAAUGGAAUUGUACACCAUCUGUUAAAAACGGGGUUAUGGCCCUUUGUAUCUUUAAAAAAUGCUUGUUUGAGUGUCAAAUAUAAUACUUAUGUGUCCAGAAGCAUGUUGGCGGGGGAUAUCAAUUCAAUGUAUUUGCUUGUAAAUAAAAAAUUAAACCAAUGGAAUUGGUUUUUAGGUAUCUGAGUGUGCAUUUUCAUACCAAUAGAAUUACACAUCAUUCUAAUUAUAGCAAUAAUAAAUUUGUACUAAUAAUACCAACAAAUUAAGUUAUGCUUAGUGCUUUGCGAUGUAUUCACUUCGUUUUUAGUUCUCUUUCUAAAGACCAUUUAACAACUUAAUAUUUAAAACAAUUCAUGAAUUACGUUCCCUAUACAUUUUCAUUAUGUGCUUUAAUUACCAUUGACCAGUUGAUGGAAGAUACUGCAGAGUUUGGCAGGGAAAUAAUCCAACAGCAAAGCGGCUCUUUAAGCGCAUUUACCUAGAGGACUUACAGGGCCACAAAUUCAUGAGCACAUGUGAGCAGUAUACAAUGUACCUCAUACCAAAAAGGACCCGGAGGCAGUGACUGGUGUUCAAUAUUCUCAGAAGAAAAGGAAAAUGGCAGUGGAAGACUUGGACAAACAUUUUUAGCCUCUGUGUUAAGCCUGGCAGUCUGUGGCUGGUGACAUGUUUUAUUUUGGUUACUUCUUGUAUAAAAAAGACCAGUUAUUUAUUUUGUGAAUUGUAUUUUGUGUUUGUUUUUUGUCUUAAUUUAUUUGUUUGUUUUUUUAAUUUAGGAAUUUGAAACUUGGAUAAUUGAAUUAAGUCCGUGUUCAACAGUACUGAGCAUAGUAUAAUAAAUAACAAAUUUACAACAGUUGUUAAUUUGUUAUGUAUUAUUAUUAACUAUGCUCAGUACUUGAAUACUGGCUGUCUGCAUGGGAAUUUGUUUUCUAGAAAGUUGGUUUCAGACUUAAAUAUUUGAAGUUAACCUUCGGAACUUUUCUAGAAUUGUACUGGAACACAUCAACUAGAACUGAACUUCUGUAAUUGUACUGAAAGUGUUCUAGAAUUAAUAAGGAACAGUUGUUGAACGUUAAAAUUUAUGAGAAAAAACUCUAGAACAAUUGUGCGUGAUGUGUGUGUGCAUGUAAUUGUGUGUGUUUAUGAACAUAUGUGAGAAAGGAAGUAUACUUGUCAUAAGAGAAAUGUAAAAUUCUACUUCUAUGUUUUAUAUUGUGCCUUUUAUAAGUUUUUCUGUUCUCACCUGUAUAUGCGUGCAUGUUUAUGGAUGUGUUUUUGAAUGUGUGCAUGCAUGCCUGUGGUUAAGAGAGUUGGUACUUUAUGAAAAUGUAAAACCACUCAUUUUUGAAUAUGUACUGUGACUGCAUGUGUGUGGUUAAUGAUUGAUGCCAGAUCUUGUUCUUGUUUAACUUCUAUGAUGAAACCUUUAGUUACAUUCACAUUUGUUUUUCAAAAUCAAUAAAAUGCCUUUGAUCUAUAA